GAUGAACGCUAGCUACAGGCUUAACACAUGCAAGUCGAGGGGAAACGACAUCGAAAGCUUGCUUUUGAUGGGCGUCGACCGGCGCACGGGUGAGUAACGCGUAUCCAACCUGCCCAUCACUUGGGAAUAACCUUGCGAAAGUAAGACUAAUACCCAAUGAUAUCCCACGAAGGCAUCGGAAUGGGAUUAAAGAUUUAUCGGUGAUGGAUGGGGAUGCGUCUGAUUAGCUUGUUGGCGGGGUAACGGCCCACCAAGGCAACGAUCAGUAGGGGUUCUGAGAGGAAGGUCCCCCACAGUGGAACUGAGACACGGACCAAACUCCUACGGGAGGCAGCAGUGAGGAAGAUUGGUCAAUGGGCGAGAGCCUGAACCAGCCAAGUAGCGUGCAGGAAGACGGCCCUAUGGGUGGUAAACUGCUUUUAUAAGGGAAUAAAGUGGGUCACGUGUGACUUUUUGCAUGUACCUUAUGAAUAAGGACCGGCUAAUUCCGUG
rnacentral:rRNA from 1 species